CAGCAGCCACGGUAACACGGAGGGUGCAAGCGUUAAUCGGAAUUACUGGGCGUAAAGCGCACGCAGGCGGUCUGUCAAGUCAGAUGUGAAAUCCCCGGGCUUAACCUGGGAACUGCAUUUGAAACUGGCAGGCUAGAGUCUUGUAGAGGGGGGUAGAAUUCCAGGUGUAGCGGUGAAAUGCGUAGAGAUCUGGAGGAAUACCGGUGGCGAAGGCAGCCAUCUGGCCUAAUACUGACGCUGAGGUACGAAAGCAUGGGGAGCAAACAGGAUUAGAUACCCCGGUAGUCCCUGUCUCUUAUAC
rnacentral:rRNA from 1 species